GUUUAGAUGGGAAACAGGAGCCGGGCUGCUAGCCAGUUACCUUAAUAUCUCCAGACCAACACCACUGGCAACUUCCUGGAAAGACUUAUUAAUAGGCGGCAACUUGGCAGUCAGGACCGGACCGAGGAGCUGAUCCUGGAAUGCAACAGGGGAACCACAUCGAUUUAUAGGCAACCUUUCCAUGCGAGAUCAGCAGGGAUAAGUGGUGGGAUAAGACUCCAAAGGAAGGUGGGUGCUCUGGAUCCAGCUCCGCGGCUGGCCUUCUGUCCCUGAGCGCUGCAGGGACCAGGCCACGGCUGAGAGACACAUGCGGAUACCAAGGACAGGGAGUCCUGACCACCACAGGGUCAAAACCGGAGAUCGGGCACGAUGGACGGAACAGACAACCCACUGUCAUCAAUGAGUAAAUAUAAAAUUCCUAUGGCAUCGAAACAGACUGAAUGUUUCAGAAUAAUAAUAAUAAUAAUUGCACUGGGUGAUUGUGGUCUGUUUGCACUUAAAGUGCAUCCUAAAUCACUAACAGAAGGCACCCUCUGCAGUCACCUCCACAUCUAUGCUCAGCCGUGAGGGAGCACGAGAUGAGAAGAUAAGAUAACACAAGACUUUAGACUUAUCUUCGUACAUUGACACCUGCGAAUGAGCACCUGCCCCCUGCCAUUCACCAGGUGUGGGUGGGGGUGGGGGACUGUUGUCAGGGCCACGGCCAGGGUGUGUCACAGUGUCACAGACCCACGUUCAGCAUGCUAGGAGAUGUGAGGAAUAAAACUAUUAAAUUAACCACUUCUGAUUAGUGCGGGGAUGAAUGGCUGGAGAACUCGCACAACCCUAAUCGUGAUGAACCGAUGCUCCUCAGGAAGACUCCUGUUAAAAUCCCUCAGAUUUACCAACGUGUUAACCGGCACUCCAAAAAAACACAUCCAAGCGCCAUAAAGUGCAAUGGAUCGCCUACAUACGGUACACCACAUUUCAGCCAUUUUAAAAACCUCUAAGUAAUGCUGCAGCCCUCAAAGCAGAUCAACAGGAGCCCCACAGGUCUCCAGGACCAAGCACGGGUGCAGGAGACCACACACUCAAACAGACACUGACUGGCAUCAACAUCCUGCUCAUCAGGGCUUGCACUUCACUGCCAUUUUGUGCCUAAGAACCUAACACCACAAACUACCUUCUGUAAACCACAGCACAGGUAAAAGGUAUCACAAAGGCAGCUAUUCAGAAGCUCAUGUUUGAAUUGAUACAUAAAACUGUUGGAGAAACAUACCAGGGUGAGGUUUAUUUGCACAUUAUGCUGUUUAAUCUAAAGGCUUAAAACUACCCCCGAAUCGCCCCACACACACACACACACACACACACACACACUACUCCGGGCACUUUGAGAGUCAAGUGGCCGAGAAACGAUACAGGACAUGUGAGGUUUGCGGUGAGCAUAGGGAAAGAGGGUUCACUCAAAGGCCAGCCUAAGAGGCCGUAUAUUAAAUAUCAUUAUUGCCGACGGCAUAUAAAGGAAACGCUGCUUUAGACGCAGAUCAGCGGAGCGCACGGCUGUCAUGCAAAAUGCAUGGACGCCAAAACUUAAUUUCGCACUUAGAUUGCCUGUUAACAUAUCUAGGCUUUGUUUCAGUGCCAAAUACAACUUUUACGGCUGUUGGUGUACAUCCCCUAUACUUCCACAGUUCUGGAAACUAAUACAUUAACUUUUUCCAUAUAUUAACAAAAAGCGAAUGCGAAAUUAUGGCUGCGGAUAGAAAUAAAUUCCAUUUUACCGGACGGAGCACACAGAUGAAGAAAUCAAGACAUCAGAAAUGGUGAAAACAGGAGAAACAGUAUCCAUAUGAAUGGGGCCGGAGUGCGGCUCACACUUGGCUGCACAGGCUGAUUCCUGUAACCCAAACUUGCCAUCAAUCCACGAAGGAGGCCGAUCAGAGAGCUGUCAAGCCGGCAGAGCUGAGUGGUUAUUCUGAAAACUGUAAGGAUGCACUUUGCGGAAGAGGUGCAUUACUGCACCAAGCAGGAUGCCUGAAGCCGGAGCGACCCGUCCGAGUGGGAAAAGCAAAUGAUCCGCAAAACUGCGAUCAGAGGCCCGAUAAAUUAUCAUGCACACAUAAACGUUACACACACACACACACACGUAUAUUAUAUGUAUGGCUUGUAUAUAUUCCUGCAUAGAGGUUCUUGAAUGUUUAUAAGAAAGUCGCCUGACUUUUUGCUUCCUUACGUUUUAGAAGAUGGUUUCUGCGAAAUAAUCGGGCGACAAGUGCAUGAGCCCCGUACUUUAGUAUUGCAUAAGAGGACCUGACAGAAAAGAAAAUGAGACGGACGGACACCGACGGAAACGAGACAUGCAAAGACACGGAGACACACAAAGACAAAGACACAAACGGCCGGACGAUUACAUGCAACAGCUCCGGGGCGCUGCUCUAUACGCUUUAGCGCAAAUAAAGCAAAA